GACGAACGCUGGCGGCGUGCUUAACACAUGCAAUUCGAACGGAAAGGCCCUGCUUUUGUGGGGUGCUCGAGUGGCGAACGGGUGAGUAACACGUGAGUAACCUGCCCUUGACUUUGGGAUAACUUCAGGAAACUGGGGCUAAUACCGGAUAGGAGCUCCUGCUUCAUGGUGGGGGUUGGAAAGUUUCGGCGGUUGGGGAGGGACUCGCGGCUUAUCAGCUUGUUGGUGGGGUAGUGGCUUACCAAGGCUUUGACGGGUAGCCGGCCUGAGAGGGUGACCGGCCACAUUGGGACUGAGAUACGGCCCAGACUCCUACGGGAGGCAGCAGUGGGGAAUAUUGCACAAUGGGCGGAAGCCUGAUGCAGCAACGCCGCGUGCGGGAUGACGGCCUUCGGGUUGUAAACCGCUUUCGCCUGUGACGAAGCGUGAGUGACGGUAAUGGGUAAAGAAGCACCGGCUAACUACGUG
rnacentral:rRNA from 1 species